GAUGAAGAACGCAGCGAAAUGCGAUAAGUAAUGUGAAUUGCAGAAUUCAGUGAAUCAUCGAAUCUAUGAACGCACAUUGCGCCCCCUGGUAUUCCGGGGGGCAUGCCUGUUCGAGCGUCAUUUCACCACUCAAGCCUCGCUUGGUAUUGGGCAACGCGGUCCGCCGCGUGCCUCAAAUCGACCGGCUGGGUCUUCUGUCCCCUAAGCGUUGUGGAAACUAUUCGCUAAAGGGUGUUCGGGAGGCUACGCCGUAAAACAACCCCAUUUCUAAGGUUGACCUCGGAUCAGGUAGGGAUACCCGCUGAACUUAAGCAUAUCAAUAAGCGGAGGA
rnacentral:misc_RNA from 1 species